rnacentral:lncRNA from 1 species
GACUCUUCAUAGCACAAUGCUUCGAAUAACAAUAAAGAAUAAAUAAUGAUAUUAAAUACUAGAGUCAUUUACAUAAUAUGAAUCAAAGUACACAGAAUAGAAACGUAGCUAACGUAAAUAAACCCAACACAGGCAGCUGAUUGGGGGUGAUCGCUAGCCUAAUCCUCGAACUCGUCGAAGUCCUGGAACUCCUGGAGAUCCGCCUCGACGCCUUCUUCUUUACCUGAGCAUAGAUUGCACCAAAGGCAACCUGGUGUUUUGUGAAAGCAAGGGUGAGUACACAUCAACGUACUCAGCAAAUGUCCUGUUUGGCUGAAGUGGACUAGCUUUAUGUGGGGUUAAGGUCGAAGCAGAUUGCUUUUAAUUGGUCAGGUAUUUAUUAUUAAUGGAAGCCAAGUUUUAUCAUAUAACCAACCCAUGAACCAUUUCCUCAUCGAGGAAACCUCAUUAUCAUCAUCGAACCGAAAUAAUAAAAAGAACCAUUGUAUCUCGAACCAUCGGUAUCUCUAAUCAAAGAGGAUCCCAAGGCCGCUCAUAACCGUGAGCACGGCUGAUAUAUCAGUUUCAUUACCCUCUGCAGAGGUCGCACACUUUACCCAUGAGCCGUGAUUCCCGUUUUGCCCGGGGAUCAUGACUCCCCAUUGAUCACUUCCUAGGUGGUCCGGCAGGGUAUCACUACGUAGCCUUUACAAAGAUUCCCUAGAGGUCAUAGUCGCCCGUUAGGUUUCUCCAGUUUGAUAAACACAGUACCUCUCCCCGCAGGAGAGUGACUAACAAAAGCAAAACGAAAGAACCUCGGCACUCAGCCUCGGCAGAGCAAGCACUGUGUCUGGACCCCAUUGACGGCAUGACGGCGAAGCAACUACACCUAUAGUUCCUCUAAUUAAUUAGCUAAGGGCAUCCCAUUUCACCCUCAUGGUUGCACUGUUAUCCCGGGUGGUCUCUCAACGAACAGGUCCUUACGGAGAGGUACUCGAGAAACCGUCCGAGUCCCCUAAAUGCCACAAGUCCAACAUCAUAAUCAUAGAGACAACAUCGUAUCAUAAAUGUUCACAUCAUGUUCAUUGAUUAAAGUAAAGCAAUAGCAUGAAGUUAACCAUAAUAAUCCAAAAGGUAAUCAAGGACAAGGUAAAUACAAAGCUAGUCAAUCCUUGUUGAUCAUGGUAUGCGGGUUGAUGAAUUAUAAAGUAAAUGGGACAUAAUAGGUCAGAGGACACUUGCCUUCACCAAACAGAUGCUCAGGAUCUUCAACCUCAUAAAACUCAGAGAGCUUGAUCACUUGGUCGCCGACGCUUGAUCGUCGAUUCCUCGGAGCGCGGAAACAAAUCGCGAUCUAAUCGCAACGCGAAGCGAAGACAAACAGGAACGAACAAACAAACAUAUAUGCAUAAGAACAUUACACCAUACAAAGGAAAAUAUAAUAAAAUAUGCAAAACGAAAUAGAGCGUGUUACUACGGUCACACGAGGGAAAAGAAACGCGACAGGCGGAGCUAUGAUCGAGAGGUUAUCGCGUCUACACUAAACGAGUAUUAAUCAUAACAUUUAGUUUGACCUGAUUAUAUUAAUCGAUAUUUAUUUAAAAUGAAACUAGAGCUAUCGCACAGUUUUAAUUAGCUGACCACACUAACAAUUCUUAGUUAAAUAAGUAAUUUAAAUAACAUCAGCGACUCUAAGCGGGACGAAUUAGUGGAGUGAGACGAAAUACGUAAUGCGUGAAACAACACGACUGCACGAGACCUAGCGCGCGCACCACGCGCGACAAGCGCGAACAACGUGACGACGACGAACUCAACACGACAGCGUGCAAACGACGCGCGGACACGCACGACAUAGCACGCUGACGACACACGAAACAACACGCGCGACCAUCGCGAACGAGAAUGCCACCACGUGCGGAACAGCACACGCGACAGGUGAUAAAACUAAAUAGGUGACACGUUUAUACUAAACCAAUGUUAAAUAUAUAAAGUAGUUAAGUUAAUAUUUGCUAUGUUAAUAUUUAUUAUAAAAGAUUAAGUGGAACACUACACAUUUAAUCUAGUUAGCAUAUUAAUCUAAUAACCAUUAGUCGAGCGAUAUUAAAUAAAUUAUUUAAAAUAUAUGACCUGAUAAAUUAAUGUUAUUUAACCUAAGUGAUUAUAAGCGGAAGAAAUUUACCAUCACGAGCAGGCGCCGCGCGACCCACGUGAUCGACACGCGAGACGCGCGACACACGCGAAAGGCGUGUGAAAACGCAUGAAUGGCACACGCGAUGCACGCACAUGACGUGUGACGACACGUGAUACUGUACGAAGCAGCGCGCGGCCGGCAAGCGAUACAAUGCGCACGACAACGCGCGAGUCAACGUGACUACGCGCGUGAACAGCGCGAUGUCGCGCAAACGACGCUGCGCGAGAACAACAAAUGGAUAAUUAAUUAAAAGUAUUUAAGCCGGCAUUAAUCAAGUUAAUUAAUAUUUAUAUUCAUAACAGCACGAGUUAAAACUAUAGACUCGUUCUAGUUAAACUGUUAUCUUAAGUAGCAAACGACUAAACAAUAAUUGACUAAUUAGCGCGAGCGACAAUAGCGGAGAUAAUUAAAUAACGCGCUGACAACGCGCGAGACCCACGCGAUCGACAAGAGAUGACACCCGUUGCGACAUGUUUCUACUAACAAGCAUAAAUUCGAUAAUAUUCGAGCAGGCGUAAUUAUAUUAACAAGUAUCUAUAAAGUGAAUCAAAGUAUACGUUAGUUUGAUUAGAUUGCUACUUUUAGUAACUGUCGGAUAAAUAAAUAAUCGAUUAAUUAGCUAAAACGCGUAUCACGGUGAAAUAAUGUCAUCAACACGAUGGCGACGAGGUUAUGAAGUUAACGCGAUUAAAGCGAGUCGAAACGGAUUUACGACAUAUGGUUUAUUGAAUAGGUAACAAUUCACGAAUGAUAAACGAUGCAACAUAUGAGAACCGCUAAACACACGUCAUAAUCACACUAAGUAAUGUUGAAUCAAAACAUUUGAUUACUAUUAAUCAUAUUAACGUUUAUUUAUAAAUGCAUAAAUUAAAACUAUAAAUUAGAUUUAAUUAGAAGGUCGUUCUAAUAACCACUAAAUGAAUAAUUAAUUAAUUAUAACAUGUGUCACGACAAAACAAUGUUACUAAUAUGCACUUUAUUUGUUAUAAAGUUAACGCUACUGAAACGGGUCAAAGCGGAUUUAUAAUGCGAAAAGAUAUGAAUAGUUACCGAAUUGAGCUAUGUGGCGCAAUAUAAUUGGUUGAGGGAUUAACCACCUAGUGGGCCAUAAGAACCUGUCCAUAGAAAAUCCUGCACGGUAGAAGUGGCCAAAGAAAAGUCCUAAAACGUGGCCACGUUCCCUGGGGUUGUUUUCAUGCAUGCGCCCAAGAGGUUUCUCACGGCAUGCAUGAGCACAUGGGUGGGCCCACCAGCCGUUUCUCACACGGUUUCUUCGUUUUCUGGCUCUGCCCGGACGAAACGAAUCGCACCAGCGGUCCCUCUUCUUCCUUCGACCUUCUUGGACCAACCAACACAGCCACAGCAAGGGAGAGAAAGAAGGAUGCCCUCUACCGUCCGGCUAGGCUUCGCCAUUGGGCUGCUCGGCCAAUCGCCGCCAACUCGCUGGCCGGAUUGACGACAGCGCAUGACCGGGCGCGCAGCAAGACCAGGAACAAGGCGUUUAGCGGCACAUGGCUGGGAGCUAGCGUUCGGUGAUGUGCAAAGCGGGUGGGACGCGGACCUCGUGGGCUGGAUGCGACCAGCAGCGGCGGAGGCCGGAGCGGUGCUACAACGCGCGGCUGGGGCAGGAAGCCCGCGAGUAGCGGCUCUACAGCGACGCUGGCGUUGCUCGGCUCGCUGGGGCAAGACGGCGAAGCACGACCAGACCGCGGGAGCAGGGACGCACGUGUGCAGGGAAGGAAGGGAGAGAGGAGAGCUCACCUCGGCAACGGCUCCACGCAGGCUCCUCGGCGGACGACGUCGAGUGCGGGCGAGACAGCUCUGCUGUCAUCCAGAGCAGGCGACUGGCACUCGACCGACGCAAGGGCAUCACCGGAGGACCGAGAUCGGCUGGGAUGGGGAUGGCCGCCGCCAUGGCCACGGCUAGGGGCUGCAGCCGGCCGGCUGCCGUGCGUAGAGGCCCAUCCCUGCCUUGCUGCGUCCGUGGGGGCGAUCUGCGCAGGAUCUUAGCAGGGGCCUCGGGUGGGCGGUUGCGAGCAAAUCACGUCAUGGGUGCACUAGGCGGUUCCUUCGGAGAAGAGGAACAGUAUCUGGGCGACCGUGACGCGCGGACGCUAGGAAAAUCUGGGAUGCGCUGGCCAUUGCGUGGGGGAAAUUUGUGGGCCGCAGGGGGAAAACGGCUUGGGCCGCGGCGCGUGCGAGCGUUCCUGCGUGGAGCGCGUAGCGUGCACGGGAGUGGGCCAGCGGGGGCGCUAGGCCGCAGCAGGCCAAGCAGGCGAGGGUGUG